CUACGGGGGGCUGCAGUGAGGAAUAUUGCACAAUGGGGGGAACCCUGAUGCAGCAACGCCGCGUGGAGGAUGACGCAUUUCGGUGUGUAAACUCCUUUUAUAUGUCAAGAAAAUGACGGUAGCAUAUGAAUAAGCACCGGCUAACUCCGUGCCAGCAGCCGCGGUAAUACGGAGGGGUGCAAGCGUUACUCGGAAUCACUGGGCGUAAAGGACGCGUAGGCGGGUUGGAAAGUCAGGUGUGAAAUCCUACAGCUUAACUGUAGAACUGCACUUGAAACUUCUAAUCUAGAGUAUGGGAGGGGGAGAUGGAAUUAGUGGUGUAGGGGUAAAAUCCGUAGAUAUCACUAGGAAUACCUAAAGCGAAGGCGAUCUCCUGGAACACUACUGACGCUAAGGCGUGAAAGCGUGGGGAGCAAACAGGAUUAGAUACCCUUGUAGUC
rnacentral:rRNA from 1 species